rnacentral:SRP_RNA from 1 species
GCUGGGCGUGGUGGCACUUGCCUGUAGUCCCAGCUACUCGGGAGGCUGAGUGGGAGGAUCGCUUGAGCCCAGGAUUCUGGGCUGUGCGCUAUGCCAAUUGGGUGUCAGCACUAAGUUCGGCAUCAAUAUGCUGGGGGAGCAGGGGACCACCAGGUUGCCUAAGGAGGGGUGAACCGGCCCAGGUCAGAAAUGGAGCAGGUGAAAAAUCCCAUGCUGAUCAGUAGUGGGAUCACGCCUGUGAAUAGCCACUGUACUCCAGCCUGGGCAACAUAGCAAGACCCUGUCUCUU